GACUCAUCAACUAUACCAGUCCUCUGUUCCUGGUCUCUGGAGCUUCAAUUUGGGAAAGUGACCCAUUAGCUUCUGAGGACCAGGGUGAGAGAGGGCAAACUUGAAUGCCCUUCACAAUGGAGAGAUGUGUGCAGACCGGACAGACAUCAGUUCCUUUAUCAGUGCACAGGUAGCUGCAAUAUGCUUCCUGGAAUCCUCUCUCAAAUAAACUGCUUGCCUCCAAAUCCUUGUCUCAGGCCUGCAUGUGGAGAGAUAAAACCCAGACAAAGAGGCAGACAUGAGCAGAUGAGCUCCCCCGAACAGGAGACAAGUGGGCUGAGAGGUGAAGGAAGAGGAUGAGGAUACCUCUGCCUCCGAGAAAAUGAGACUGGGUUGUCCUGCUGAAGGAAAAGAGUCACAUGACUAUUGCUCAGAUAACAUCAAGCUAACCACCAGGCAUGUGAGUGAGACUGUCUAAGAUAACCCAGUUUCAGCUGAGCUGAUCCAGAGCAGAAAAGCUGUCCAGGAACCAAGGAACCUGACAGAUAAGUAAUUUUUCUUACUUUAAAUCUUUAUAUUUGAAUUGGUCUCUUAUCCAGCAAAAACUGCCUGAUAUGACACCUUCACAACUCCUUUAUAUAUUCCAACUUAAUUGUAGCCUCCUUGAGCACAGAACCACUUUGACUGACAUCUUCUGAAGCUCCUUCAGGACUCAGAUUCUGCCUCACUCAUUUAAGGAGCAGAGGACAUGUUUGUUGAUUGACAAUCUUGUCCAAAGUUUCUGCUAUGCUUCAAGGAUCAGUUAGUAAUUUAAUUCCUUUAGAGGCUGGUUUAGGUCCCCAAGCACCAGCUAAAAACAAACCUGCAACAUCGAAUCUUGAAAAAAAGCCAACAGAUCAUAAGCUUUGAAAUCAACUGUAGGAUCUAUGGAGGAACAUUUUGCUAGGGCUUCAAAGACCAUAGGCAUUAAUAUAAACUCACUCUCAGACUCAGAUCCUCUCUCUGAUUUCUCCUUCAGUUCCUGCAGAGAAUUUGAGUCAAAGGGAAUGGAAGAGUCAGCUAGUUCAAAUGAAUUGAGGUGGGGAUGAUUAGAAAUUGAAACUCAGCUGACAAAAUUGGGAAGUAAAGUUUCUCUGAAAGUAUUAUUUUCAUAAUUAUAAGGAAUUUGCAUAUAUAUAUAAAUUACUUUCUGUCAUUUAAAAAUGCUUCCACAAAAAUAUACAUAAGAGUUUCACCUCAAGGUUGAAAAUGAGAAAGUUGGAGUAUAUGAUGAGUAAGAGCUUAUAAAUAUAUAAUCCUGUAUAGAGUUCUGACAUCCUAGAUGCUGUCCACCUGUCCCUAACAAAAGCCAUGGAUUUCUACAGGGUCAUGUAAAGUAAAAGGUUAUUUUGAACAUUCUAAA
rnacentral:lncRNA from 1 species